AUUGAACGCUGGCGGCAGGCCUAACACAUGCAAGUCGAGCGGAUGACGGGAGCUUGCUCCUGGAUUCAGCGGCGGACGGGUGAGUAAUGCCUAGGAAUCUGCCUGGUAGUGGGGGACAACGUUUCGAAAGGAACGCUAAUACCGCAUACGUCCUACGGGAGAAAGCAGGGGACCUUCGGGCCUUGCGCUAUCAGAUGAGCCUAGGUCGGAGUAGCUAGUUGGUGAGGUAAUGGCUCACCAAGGCGACGAUCCGUAACUGGUCUGAGAGGAUGAUCAGUCACACUGGAACGGAGACACGGUCCAGACUCCUACGGGAGGCAGCAGUGGGGAAUAUUGGACAAUGGGCGAAAGCCUGAUCCAGCCAUGCCGCGUGUGUGAAGAAGGUCUUCGGAUUGUAAAGCACUUUAAGUUGGGAGGAAGGGUUGUAGAUUAAUACUCUGCAAUUUUGACGUUACCGACAGAAUAAGCACCGGCUAACUCUGUGCCAGCCGCCGCCGUAACAC
rnacentral:rRNA from 1 species